CGGGGUGUAGCGCAGCUUGGUUAGCGCGCCACGUUCGGGACGUGGAGGCCGGAAGUUCGAAUCUUCUCACCCCGACCA
rnacentral:tRNA from 1 species